rnacentral:rRNA from 1 species
UCGAGAAUAUUCGUCAAUGGGCGAAAGCCUGAACGAGCGACACCGCGUGUAGGAAGAAGGUCUUCGGAUUGUAAACUACUUUUCUAGGGGAGGAAUCCGCCGCAAGGCGGAUGACGGUACCCUAGGAAUAAGGAGGUCCUAACUCUGUGCCAGCAGGAGCGGUAAUACAGAGCCUCCAAGCGUUAUCCGGAUUUAUUGGGCGUAAAGGGUCCGUAGGCGCCUUGUUAAGUUUUCUAUUAAAUUUCCAGAGCUCAACUUUGGAACUGUAGAAAAAACUGAUAAGGUUGAGGGCACUAGGGGUUGGAGGAACGGUCGGUGUAGGGGUGAAAUCCGUUGAUAUCGACCGGAACACCAAAAGCGAAGGCAUCCAACUAGGGUGGCCCUGACGCUGAGGGACGAAAGCGUGGGUAGCAAAAAGG